UACGUAGGGGGCUAGCGUUGUCCGGAAUCAUUGGGCGUAAAGAGCGUGUAGGCGGCUUGGUAAGUCCGCUGUGAAAGUCCAGGGCUUAACCCUGGAAAGCCAGUGGAAACUGUCAAGCUAGAGUCCGGAAGAGGUGAGUGGAACUCCUGGUGUAGCGGUGAAAUGCGCAGAUAUCAGGAAGAACACCAAUGGCGAAGGCAGCUCACUGGGACGGUACUGACGCUGAGGUGCGAAAGCGUGGGGAGCAAACAGG
rnacentral:rRNA from 1 species